CGAAGGUGAAGUGGUGAUUUGAGCCGGUCGGCUUGCGGACCACUAUAAAGAAUCCGCUAAAAGGCCGGGGAUCGUUCCGG
rnacentral:ncRNA from 2 species